rnacentral:rRNA from 1 species
CAGCAGCCGCGGGAAUACGAAGGGUGCAAGCGUUAAUCGGAAUUACUGGGCGUAAAGCGUGCGUAGGCGGUGAGUUAAGUCUGCUGUGAAAUCCCCGGGCUCAACCUGGGAAUGGCAGUGGAUACUGGCUCGCUAGAGUGUGUCAGAGGAUGGUGGAAUUCCCCGUGUAGCGGUGAAAUGCGUAGAGAUCGGGAGGAACAUCAGUGGCGAAGGCGGCCAUCUGGGACAACACUGACGCUGAGGCACGAAAGCGUGGGGAGCAAACAGGAUUAGAUACCCCCGUAGUCCCUGUCUCUUAUAC